rnacentral:lncRNA from 1 species
GUUUGUUUAUGUAAUUUAUACAUGUUUCUCGUUUCUCGUUUUUUUAUAUAGAUUAGACCGUUGGUUUUCCCGUUUGAAUGGUUUUACACUAGUAAUUUUGGGGCCCUUUAUAGCUUGUUGUUUGGUGUGAGCCAAGGCUCCGUGUUGAAGGCCGUACAUUGACCUAUAAUGGUUUACUUUUUUUUAAUUGUUAUUUGGAUGGAGAGUUGUUUCAUUGGCACUCACACCACAUCUUCCUAUAUC